AUGUAUGUUUCAAAACCAAAAUUUGUUUUUCUGUCAUGUUUUAGAUGCCUGGUCCAACUUAAUAAUGUGGUUGUCCAGCCGUCAAGGAGAGAAGAUGAAAUGGACAUACUGUUCACGCACCAAUCCAAAUGGUGUUGCUUGAGUUCCAUUGACUACCCUUACAACCCCACCAUAAUGGUCACCGUUCAAGACCAAACAAUUAGCCAGAUUCUGCAAAUGGAUAUGGAAUACCACAGAGUUAACGUCACCGUAAAGAUAAUCCAGAUGGAAAUCGAAAGACAUGCCUUUCUUCAGGAUGAUGUCUUGCUAGAGAACGGUCUACACCAUAGCGGACACCACAGGCAUCAUGGAGCUUACUGUCUGGGGCAUACAACAAAACCUUCAGCUGGACUCCUGGUUUUACAUAACCAAUGUUAUGGAUGUUCAGAGGUACAAAAUUCCAGUCCAUGACAAAAGACACAAAAUUUACACCCACCACAUGCACUGACACCACAUUUCCACUACAGCCCACCACAUCUGAACACGUAACUGGAAACAUCAUUGGCGCCAAAGUCAACAUCAUUUACAUUUGUCCACUUAAGCACAAGUUAAAUAACAUGGCACUUUCCUGCACGAGAGUCCUCUCUGACAAAUGCGAUAUAUUUUACAGAGCCGACACCAUUACACUACACACACACACACGCCAAGCUCAAAAUAACAACCACGACCUCUGAUGACAUCAAAUCCAUUAACCUAGAGAACCACGUUCUCCGAUCCACAAUCCAAGUUCCAAAAAACGCCACAACUGACACAACAAUGGACUCUCUUUUAGACCUCCCCACUAUGAAUAUGACAAUACACAACCAGUACAUCACCCACCUGGCAUAUCUGGAAAAAUCACAUACAGACACCCCACAACCCAGCAGUCCACUCAUGCACUUCUCAUCACCUACACAAUCUGCAGCUCCAAGUGAUGACCGAGCCGAACUUGACCCUUUUAUGGUGGAAUCUCCAAUAGACAGUCAGCCAGAAGUAAACCAGCCAACUUCCCAAUCUCCCACUUCUAUUGCAGAUACCCCAAAUAAGUAAUGUAUUGUUAGUUUUAAAUUGCAACUUUGUUUGUUUGUUUUUUUUGUGGAAAUGUGCUUUUGUUUAAAUUUCAAUCCUGUGAGCACUUGAAGUAGCUCUUAUUUUUAUCCUCCCUGAUUUAAAUUGACUCUGUAAAUAUUGAAGAUGCAAGAUGUUGUAUGCAUUUCCAGAUUUAAAUUUUUUUUUUCUGUCUUUGACUAUGGGGAUGUGUUAUUUCUGACUGUUAAUAAAGAACACUCACUUCAAUGCUUGACUCUUGUUUGCUUUAUUAAAUUGCCACAAAAUUGGUUUUAGAUGUCUAUACACAAUGGGAGAAAUGUCAUUUGGUUUAACCUUUAAUCUGUUCAUGUGUCUAGACUUCUUGAGACAGAGAUGAGAAUUUUGUCAGACUUGUUAAAGCCACUUGUUCACUAUAUUUUGAAGUCCAUUCCAAUAUCUUUUAAACUUAACAUGGCUGAAAAAGAGGUACAUGUCAACAAGAGCAUGUUCUGAAAGACUACAUACUAUGCCCUCUAUAGUUUGACAUUUUGCAAGUUAACAGAAAAAGUUAACCUAUUUGAAACCCCUUUAAUUCCUAAGAAAUAACUGCUGGAUUUGAGCAUGCCUAUGUUUGACUUCACUUUAAUUGCAAACUGCAUGACCAUUAACCAAAAGUUAUUAAAUUGUGAACUUAACAAGGUCAACCUCUAAUCGGUUCAGAGGCUGGAUCUCGUCCAAACUUUGAUUAAUCGAAACCGAACUUGGUACACUUCAUCUACACCGUUAUCUGAGGGUCCAAUGGGAACAGUGCCACCUAUGGGUGUUGAGAUACCAAAAAUGCACAUUUGCUUAACUCCUGAACAGUCAGUCAGAAAAUUAUGAUCUUGGUGUCUAUGGAUUCUGUGGGUUAUGCCGACUCGGUCUCAUUCGUCAUUUUCCAACAUAAUGUCUGUCCACCAUAUUGAAUUGAAUAAACUGUUUUUUUUUCGCUACACCUCCUUUGAAAUCUUGUUCAAUUUUGUAAAAUUUUAUCAGAUCUUCAGACCAAAUUUUUUAUAUUCACUCCCAUUCUUGACAUGUAGCUCUUGGAAGUUGUCCGCAGAGAGCUGCACGGGUCCGCUUUUGUAAAUCCGCACCCGCCCGUACCCGCAGUGCUUAAAACCGCAUCCGACCCGUUUUCCGACAGUAGCACUAAUUAAAAUCCGCACCCGACCCACUUAAAAUAGAACCGACAACCGACCCGCACCCAAAAUCAAACCAGUUAAGCCAAUCACAUUAGACACACGUUUAAUUUUAUUGCCAGGUCAUACAGAAGUUAUUUAUGGAAAACUCUUUUUAAAAAAUAUUCAUUUUUUUUAUACAUUUUAUCUUAAUUUUGAUCAAUGUUUUAUCAAUCAAUUGCCCGUAUUUAAUAAAUAAGAAGCAAAUAUAUAGCAGACAAUGUAAUAACCUUAGUGUAAUUGACAGAAUUACUAAAAAUUAUUUUGCUACCUAAAAGUAAAAAAAAAAAAAUUGUGUCAAGCAUGCAUGCAUGUCUAUUUCCUUCAUAUUAAAUAUAAAACGCAUGUGGACUGAUAUUUUUCCAAUGUCUGGACUCCUUUAUUAAUGGAGUAUAUAAACAGAUGUUUCAAUAUAUUGGUAUUAAAUGCAUUUUCGGAGAAUUUAUAUUUCACGUUUUUACUGGAAAUGUCGAAAUACAUGCUCUUUGGUCCAUCAGUGGUUCUGAGUCACUGAUCACAGUAGAAUAAAAUAUCUCAUAAUAAAAUACAAAAUUGACUGAUUUAUGAAUGUAUAUGCAUAGUUCUCAUCAGUCGGAAAUACUCAUAAUUUAGCCCCGGGGCCAGUUUAAUACCGGGUUUCGGUACACAUCCCUACUUAUACCUGAUUUAUAUUUUUUCCUGAUAAGUCCCCCGAUUUAUUUUUAGUGUGUUUAAAAAAAAAAAAAAAAACAUGCAGCAAACAGAGAUCAGGUGAUGAAUCUGUUAAAAUGCAACGACUUGCAAUAGACGACUUAUAUAUUUUUUUCCUCUGAUCAAUUUAAUUUAUUUUUUAGCGUGUUAAAAAUAAAAAAUAAAGAAGAAAUGCAGCAAAUGAAAAUAGCCGAUUAAUCCGUUAAGAUGUUAUACUUCAGAGCAGAGCCUGGGCCUAAUAUAUGCUAUCCAUGUUUUUUUUUUUCAUUGCAUCUGGAAAUGACUUGAUCAGCCUCCCGCAUUGCUCAGCUGUGGACGAUUUAAAAAUGUUUGAUAUAAAAGUUGCUGUCCUAUUUCAUACAGGAAUUGUUCAUUUUAAAAAAUCAAAUUAAAUUGUUAGUUCUAAAUAUAUUAUUAGCACAAGUUCAUUGGAGUGCCCAGCCCUGCUCCUGGUGUUCGACUGUCUUGCAAAGUUUAGCUCCAAUCCUAAUCAAACACACCUGAAGCAACACAUUUUUAAGUGAGCCUGAAGACCUUAAUUAAAGGCAGGUGUGUUUGAUUAGGGUUGGAGCCCCAGGACAGUCCAACGCCAGGAGCAGGGUUGGGCAACCCUGAUUUAAACUAUUUAACAUGCCGUGAC
rnacentral:lncRNA from 1 species